UACAGAGGUCCCAAGCGUUGUUCGGAUUCACUGGGCGUAAAGGGUGCGUAGGUGGUGAGGUAAGUCGGAUGUGAAAUCUCCGGGCUCAACCCGGAAAUGGCAUUGGAAACUACCUUGCUGGAGGAUUUGAGGGGGGAUUGGAAUACUUGGUGUAGCAGUGAAAUGCGUAGAUAUCAAGUGGAACACCAGUGGCGAAGGCGAAUCCCUGGAAAAUACCUGACACUGAGGCACGAAAGCUAGGGAAGCAAACAGG
rnacentral:rRNA from 1 species